UUGGAUCUUUGACACUUGAAAAUCAAUCAAAGAAAUCAACAAAGUUAUUUUUAUCUCUAUUUUCUUACCUUUAAUUUUAAUAUCUUUACCUUUUAUUAUUGAAACCCUAGUUCUAUAGACUUGGUAGGAUUAGCUUUCUAUCACACAUUGGGAUUUAUCAGAAAGAGAGGAGGACCGAAAAAAGAAAAGACUACAACCUCUUCACAACAUUAAAACAAAAACGCAGCAAGGUUGGAUCGAGGGAGUAGAGGGAUUUCGCUCCAUCCUUUUUCAGCCGCGAAUCACCUCCAAGACCAGCCUCUCUCCGCUUGCGUUUUCCUAUGCCCUCCGACAAACACCGAAACACCUCCUUCAAAGCUCCGAUCGAUCACAGCCUCCAACCGCCAUAGGGAACGUUUCCGAAAAUAGAAGAGGAGAGAACAAGUUUUUUUUCUGGAAAGCGAAAGACGGAAAACAAAGGCUUGAGACUUUGGCUAAUACUGAACUGAUGUGGCUGUUUCGAAUUGAUGGAUGUGUAAGCUUGGAAUGGUAUUGGUUGCUGCAGGUUAGGAAGAGGUGCAAGGGGCAUAAAGCUCGUGGAUCAGUAUGAUGAAACUUGUCAUGGAAAGCCAAGAGAAAUAAAAUACAGAUGCUGUUUAUAAUAGACUUAGAACAAAAUUUGUAAUGCUUAUCUCUAUGUAAAUAGAUAGAUUUGUAGUUAUAAUAUUUUUGUAUUGAAUUGGAUAUUUGGGAUGAAUUGGAUUUUGUAAUGAGUUGGAAUUGUAAAAUGUAAU